rnacentral:snRNA from 1 species
GGCUGUGAGGGUGACCGGGCUGUGACAUCUGUCACCCCACUGAUUGCCAGGGUUGAUUCACCUGAUCGGGCUGGCCAGGUGGGUGUCCUCUUCCUCCCUCAUCACUCCAUGUGUGUCCCUCCUGAAACCACAUGCUUGGUCGGAGAGGAUGACCAUCCCCCAUAGAGGAAGCCCAGUCCCUGGUCAAGGGUAUAUGAGUAGCCUCGCUCCCCUGCUGAUACCUCCAAACAAGCUCUCAAAAUUGAUGCUCAAUAUAUAGUUGUGAAUUGAAAAAGAAAAGCACCUGGU